rfam:Triticum aestivum genome assembly, contig: Triticum_aestivum_CS42_TGACv1_scaffold_570025_7AS
AAGGUACUUCCUCCGUUCCGAAUUACUCGUCGCAAAAAUGGAUGUAUCUAGAUGUAUUUUAGUUCUAGAUACAUUCAUUUUUGCGACGAGUAAUUUGAAACAAAGGGAGUACCUU